GUGGGGAAUCUUGCGCAAUGGGCGAAAGCCUGACGCAGCCAUGCCGCGUGAAUGAUGAAGGUCUUAGGAUUGUAAAAUUCUUUCACCGGGGACGAUAAUGACGGUACCCGGAGAAGAAGCUCCGGCUAACUUCGUGCCAGCAGCCGCGGUAAUACGCAGGGGGCUAGCGUUGCUCGGAAUUACUGGGCGUAAAGGGCGCGUAGGCGGACAGCUUAGUCAGAGGUGAAAGCCCAGGGCUCAACCUUGGAAUUGCCUUUGAUACUGGCUGUCUUGAGUUUGGGAGAGGUGAGUGGAACUCCGGGUGUAGAGGUGAAAUUCGUAGAUAUUCGGAAGAACACCAGUGGCGAAGGCGACUCACUGGCUCGAUACUGACGCUGAGGUGCGAAAGCGUGGGGAGCAAACAGGAUUAGAAACCCCGGUAGUCC
rnacentral:rRNA from 1 species